AUGAGCGCCAUAAAAUAUGGCGUAGAGCAACACAUUUGAAUCAAAGCAGUCGCAAACAAUUUAGUGUUAACAUUAGAAUUAACCGAUGGUUUGUUAUUGAACACCAACUUGGAAAAUACUUUGUCCAUCCUGAUAUAUGUUCGAGGAAUCUACCUUGCCUUGACUGCUGAUGUUAUUGAUGAAGUCCAAGGCCAGUAACGGAAGCUGGAAUGCCAUGUGUGCAGCCUCCAGAUAUUUUGCAUCUCCCAACAGCUAUCAGCUUCUGCAGAUUUCCCAGAUCCCACAACGGUCAUGGCAGUUGUGCCAGGGAGGUGUUUUGUGGACCACCAGUAUUCAUUUUAAACGGUUAUGAUUUUAUAAAACCUUUUUUCUACUUAAGGUUCUGUAAUAAUUCUGCAUUUUGUGACAGUGUUUACUUUGAAAAUGUUAUGUUUGAAUGUUAAUUAAAGCCCUGGAUAGAGAUUGCAGAUGAUUAAAAUCAAAUGAUGCAGCAGCUCUCAUUUAGAUAUGUGGUUUGCUGCAGAAAUGCUAAUUUAUUAGAUUGAAUUACCCUUUAUUCUGGUAAUAUAAACCUAGCCAUUCAUAUGGUUCUUCUUACUUUCUUUCUUCAACUUCUUACGUUUAUAAAUGAUUUUACAUAUAUGAACCAUGUUUCUAGUGAUUUUUUUACAAACAGUGAACAUGGUAACAUAUCUCCCACAAAAUUAUACAAUGUUAUUAUUUAAGCUAAACGGUCCAUAAUGCUAUUAUUCGUUUAUAAAUAAUGGCAAAACGUUUCCUAAAAAUGUUUAAUGUUGUUAAAUAUACUGUAGGGAUUCAAUGAGUAUUAAUUUGUUAUGGUUUUAUUAUUUUGAUUUGUAUAAAGCCUCUUGAAAUAAAGAUUUUUUCCACUUUA